AAGUCAAUGAUACUAUCGAUGUAUUUCAUAAAAGCCAAUUCGGGCUUAUCUUGACAAUCUUUUCCUAGCAGAAUCACACCUUUGGCGCCGCCUUCUGGGAUGUCCUUGUUUUUUAGCAUUUGAGUCUUAGCUAGAUUAUAAUUCUCAUCAAACAACCCUCUAGCAUUCAAGCCAAAUGCUUCUGGGUUAGCAGACUUGAUAAGGCGAAUGCCACCUCUAGCAACAUCUC